AUUGAACGCUAGCGGGAUGCUUUACACAUGCAAGUCGAACGGCAGCGCGGACUUCGGUCUGGCGGCGAGUGGCGAACGGGUGAGUAAUGUAUCGGAACGUGCCCAGUAGCGGGGGAUAACUACGCGAAAGCGUAGCUAAUACCGCAUACGCCCUACGGGGGAAAGCAGGGGAUCGUAAGACCUUGCACUAUUGGAGCGGCCGAUAUCGGAUUAGCUAGUUGGUGAGGUAACGGCUCACCAAGGCGACGAUCCGUAGCUGGUUUGAGAGGACGACCAGCCACACUGGGACUGAGACACGGCCCAGACUCCUACGGGAGGCAGCAGUGGGGAAUUUUGGACAAAGGGGGCAACCCUGAUCCAGCCAUCCCGCGUGUGCGAUGAAGGCCUUCGGGUUGUAAAGCACUUUUGGCAGGAAAGAAACGUCGUGGGCUAAUACCCCGUGGAACUGACGGUACCUGCAGAAUAAGCACCGGCUAACUACGUG
rnacentral:rRNA from 1 species